AGAAUCAACGCUGGCGGCGUGCCUAACACAUGCAAGUCGAACGAGAAAGUGGAGCAAUCCAUGAGUAAAGUGGCGCACGGGUGAGUAACACGUGACUAACCUACCCUUGAGUGGGGGAUAAACCUCGGGAAACCGGGGCUAAUACCGCAUAAUAUCGAGAGAUCAAAGGAGCAAUUCGCUUAAGGAGGGGGUCGCGGCUGAUUAGCUAGUUGGUGAGGUAAUGGCUCACCAAGGCUAUGAUCAGUAUCCGGCCUGAGAGGGCGCACGGACACACUGGAACUGAAACACGGUCCAGACUCCUACGGGAGGCAGCAGUGGGGAAUUUUGCGCAAUGGGGGAAACCCUGACGCAGCAACGCCGCGUGGAGGAUGAAGUCCCUUGGGACGUAAACUCCUUUCGAUCGGGACGAUUAUGACGGUACCGGAAGAAGAAGCCCGGCUAACUUCGUGCCAGCAGCCGC
rnacentral:rRNA from 1 species